GACGAACGCUGGCGGCGUGCUUAACACAUGCAAGUCGAACGGAAAGGCCCUGCUUUUGUGGGGUGCUCGAGUGGCGAACGGGUGAGUAACACGUGAGUAACCUGCCCUUGACUUUGGGAUAACUUCAGGAAACUGGGGCUAAUACCGGAUAGGAGCUCCUGCUGCAUGGUGGGGGUUGGAAAGUUUCGGCGGUUGGGGAUGGACUCGCGGCUUAUCAGCUUGUUGGUGGGGUAGUGGCUUACCAAGGCUUUGACGGGUAGCCGGCCUGGGAGGGGGACCGGCCACCUUGGGACUGCGGUACGGCCCAGACUCCUACGGGAGGCAGCAGUGGGGAAUAUUGCACAAUGGGCGGAAGCCUGAUGCAGCAACGCCGCGUGCGGGAUGACGGCCUUCGGGUUGUAAACCGCUUUCGCCUUUGACGAGGCGUGAGUGACGGUAAUGGGUAAAGAAGCACCGGCUAACUACGUG
rnacentral:rRNA from 1 species